GGCAGCACGGUCAAUUGGCAUCAGUUGGACAUUUUGCACAUUUGCUAUACGCAAUUUGUAAUUUGUUUGAAACUUUAAGUUGCAUUUAACGAAACGAAUGAACAGGGUACCGAAGUAUAGCAAAGGCAUUUUUACUGGCAAAAGUAUCCCUUUGUGUGGAUUGAGAAAAAUACAUAAGCAGUUUUUAAAAUAGUUGCCGUAUUCCAAAUCGUGGUGCAUUUUUGUGUGUGAUGGAUAAAGAGACGCAGUUUUCGUGAAGUUGUAUGCAUUAAGCAAUCAUAACAGCAUAUUACACUAAAUCCGAGAUAUGCGGUUGAUGAAAUUCGGCAGUGCUUUAAACACAAUUUCGAAUGGAAAUUAACACGUUCAGCCCGGCGCUGAUUUUCAUCAACUUUCCGUUCCGCCGGAAUCUAGAACGCUAGCAGUUGACUGUAAACCGAAUGUGCAAAAUUGAGUUUUUUUUUAGCUAAACUUAAAACUGUGCUCUGUUCACCAAUACUGUUAUGUGUGGGAUGAUGUUUUUAUCAACCAAAAUUAUUCUCACAACAUUAUUUUAUUUGCCCACUGCUGCUGUUCAAGCGAGUAGAAUACAGUUGUUUUCAACGUACAGUCAGUCCAAAAAGUAUUCGUCUAGCUAAAUAUUUUGCAGGAAAAGGCGAAUUUUGGCCGCUGUUUUCAUCAACCAAAAUUAUUCUCACAACAUUAUUUUAUUUGCCCACUGCUGCUGUUCAAGCGAGUAGAGUACAGUUUUCAAUGUAUGUUGUUUCCAUAGCAUAAUACGAUUGGCAAGUCCCAGGGAAUCAGCUUCGGAAUCGAUUACGUCAGCGGUCGGCAAACUUUUGAGGCAAAGGGCCAACUUCAGUAAAUGAUCGAGUGCCGCGGGCCAGGUGAAUGCGGUAUUUUUAUUAUUGCGCUUAAAUGAUUACAUUUUAAUCUUUGACAAACAGUUCAGGUGUUAUUGUUGUUUUUCUGUAAUUAAAUCAUCAAAAUACGGUUCAAAAUUAAUGAUACCGACUUUAAAAACGAAUUGUAAUAUUAGUCAUUUGAGAAUCAGCAAAACAUGACUAAACAUUUGAUCAGUAAAAAAAUAACAAAAAGGGAUUAAUGUCGCUUCUUAAAGACCCCUCCUCCCACGCCGCAAAAAAAUAUUGAAUAUAUUCCGGGUAUGAUACAAAAGUCUGAACGGCUGAAAAAUUAUCGAAGCAAACAUAGA